GCCUACGGCCAUACCAGCCUGUGUACGCCCGAUCUCGUCUGAUCUCGGAAGCUAAGCAGGGUCGGGCCUGGUUAGUACUUGGAUGGGAGACCGCCUGGGAAUACCAGGUGCUGUAAGCA
rnacentral:rRNA from 1 species